rnacentral:rRNA from 1 species
UCGGCCUGGCGGUAGUGGCGAACGGGUGAGUAAUAUAUCGGAACGUACCCAGGAGUGGGGGAUAACGUAGCGAAAGUUACGCUAAUACCGCAUACGAUCUACGGAUGAAAGCGGGGGAUCGCAAGACCUCGCGCGAUUGGAGCGGCCGAUAUCAGAUUAGCUAGUUGGUGGGGUAAAGGCCCACCAAGGCGACGAUCUGUAGCUGGUCUGAGAGGACGACCAGCCACACUGGAACUGAGACACGGUCCAGACUCCUACGGGAGGCAGCAGUGGGGAAUUUUGGACAAUGGGCGCAAGCCUGAUCCAGCAAUGCCGCGUGCAGGAUGAAGGCCUUCGGGUUGUAAACUGCUUUUGUACGGAACGAAACGGUGAGCUCUAAUAAAGUUUGCUAAUGACGGUACCGUAAGAAUAAGCACCGGCUAACUACGUGCCAGCAGCCGCGGUAAUACGUAGGGUGCGAGCGUUAAUCGGAAUUACUGGGCGUAAAGCGUGCGCAGGCGGUUAUGUAAGACAGAUGUGAAAUCCCCGGGCUCAACCUGGGACCUGCAUUUGUGACUGCAUAGCUAGAGUACGGUAGAGGGGGAUGGAAUUCCGCGUGUAGCAGUGAAAAUGCCGUAGAUAUGCGGAGGAACACCGGAUGGCGAAAGGCAAUCCCCCUCGACCUGUCCUUGAACGCUCAUGCACGAAAACAGUUGGGAAGCCACCGGAUUACCUUACCUGGUUAUCCACCCCUAAAGAUUUCAAUGGUCUGGGUCUUCACCGACCC